CUACGGGACGCUCCAGUUAGGAAUAAUCUACAAUGCGCGCAAGCGUGAUAGUUUGAGCCAGAGUGCUUUUCAACGAAAAGCUUUUGCCAAAUCUAAAAAGUUUGGCGAAUAAGGACUGGGUAAGACGAGUGCCAGCCGCCGCGGUAAUACUCGCGGUCCAAGUCGCAGCCAUAUUUAUUGGGUCUAAAACAUCCGUAGCUUGCUUGAUAAGUUUCUUGUGAAAUUUCAUAUCUCAAAUAUGAAACGCGCGAGAAGUACUGUUGAGCUAGAGACUGGAAGACGUAAGAAGUAUGUUUGAAGUAACGGUAAAAUGUGUUAAUCUCAGACAGACUCACAAUAGCGAAGGCAUCUUACGAGAACAGUCCUGACAGUAAGGGAUGAAAGCCAGGGGCGCAAAACGGAUUAGAUACCCCAGUAGUC
rnacentral:rRNA from 1 species